GUUUCGAAAGGAACGCUAAUACCGCAUACGUCCUACGGGAGAAAGCAGGGGACCUUCGGGCCUUGCGCUAUCAGAUGAGCCUAGGUCGGAUUAGCUAGUUGGUGGGGUAAUGGCUCACCAAGGCGACGAUCCGUAACUGGUCUGAGAGGAUGAUCAGUCACACUGGAACUGAGACACGGUCCAGACUCCUACGGGAGGCAGCAGUGGGGAAUAUUGGACAAUGGGCGAAAGCCUGAUCCAGCCAUGCCGCGUGUGUGAAGAAGGUCUUCGGAUUGUAAAGCACUUUAAGUUGGGAGGAAGGGCAGUAAGCGAAUACCUUGCUGUUUUGACGUUACCGACAGAAUAAGCACCGGCUAACUCUGUGCCAGCAGCCGCGGUAAUACAGAGGGUGCAAGCGUUAAUCGGAAUUACUGGGCGUAAAGCGCGCGUAGGUGGUUUGUUAAGUUGAAUGUGAAAGCCCCGGGCUCAACCUGGGGAACUGCAUCCAAAACUGGCAAGCUAGAGUACGGUAGAGGGUGGUGGAAUUUCCUGUGUAGCGGUGAAAUGCGUAGAUAUA
rnacentral:rRNA from 2 species